rnacentral:tRNA from 1 species
AAUAAAGUGCCUGAAAAAGGAUUAUUCUGAUAGAAUAAAUCAUGUAAAUAUUUACCUUUAUUA